rnacentral:lncRNA from 1 species
UUUUUGCUAGAUUUUUUAAUUUAGUUCACAUGAUUUAUUUUGCUUUGGAUUUACUUGCUCUUUAUAAAAUAAAUUUGUUGGCAUAAAGGAGUCAACAUUCUGUCUGUAGCGGGAAGCUAGAUUGGAUUAGUCAUAUUCGAAAUGACGAGAGAUUGGAUUAAGCCGAGUCAUAUUCAAAAUGGUGUGAGGCUGGUUGAGUUGAGUUAUAAUCGAAAUUCGUGGGUAUUAUAUCUAUAUAUUUUAAGUGAAUUGGUUGUAUAUUUCUGACCGCUCGAAUUUUUGAAAUUAAUGAUUAGUGUCAAUGAUCAUUAAAGUUUCCGUUAAGCAUCGAAUUUGUAUAAUUUAAUAAAGAAAACCUAUCCAACUC